UCUUGUUAAUUGUUGUUGUUGUUGUUGUUGACGUUGUUGUCUUCAUCGUUAUUUUUAAGUCCAAUAUCUAAGAAAUAAUUUUUACGUUUCGAUUUCACAAUUUGACGAUGGAUGACUGUUCUCUUUGAUUAUUGCGUAACGAUGGAUAGAGAGAUAGAGAGACAGAGAAAGGGAGUGACUGGUUUCAAAUCUAUUUCCGUAAAUUGAUUCUGCCUUAAACAGACAGAGAACUUGUACAGACGACGUUUAUCUGCUUCGCUUUUCGUUCACAAUCGACGUGGUCUCUCGUUAUUGAUUUCCCUUCAGGUGUCAGCCACGAAUCCGUUUUCCACGGUGUCCAAUAACAUUCCUCAUCGUCGCAGUAGUUUCUCGCAUUAACACGAUUCGUCGAUUGGUCAAAGAUGAGAACCACUGGCACGCGCAGGUAGAUAAGUAAGUAAGUAGGUAGAUACUUAAUACUUACUAUGAAAACGCUGUAAUAUCUUUUUCGAAGAGGAAAAUGAGUCGAGAAAGAAGGUAUUACAGGGCGAAUUAGGAAUGACCUUGGAUUUAUGAUAAA